CAAGUCGUGCGCGAAGGUGGCUUCGGCCACUGGAGAGCGGCGAACGGGUGAGUAACACGUGGGUAAUCUGCCUGGGAGCGGGGGAUAACCUGGGGAAACUCGGGCUAAUACCGCAUACGUUGUCGGGGCUUUGGUUUCGACAAGAAAGCUGGCCUCUAUUUAUAAGCUAGCGCUCCUGGAGGAGCCCGCGGCUGAUUAGCUAGUUGGUGAGGUAAAAGCUCACCAAGGCGACGAUCAGUAGCCGGCCUGAGAGGGUGAUCGGCCACACUGGGACUGAGACACGGCCCAGACUCCUACGGGAGGCAGCAGUGGGGAAUAUUGGACAAUGGGCGCAAGCCUGAUCCAGCAACGCCGCGUGGAGGAUGAAGGUCUUCGGAUCGUAAACUCCUGUCAGACGGGACGAAGGUAGCGGGGUGAACAAUCCCGCUGCUUGACGGUACUGUCAGAGGAAGCCCCGGCUAACUCCGUGCCAGCAGCCGCGGUAAUACGGAGGGGGCGAGCGUUAUUCGGAAUUAUUGGGCGUAAAGGGCGCGUAGGCGGCUUGACAAGUCAAAGGUGAAAUCCCUCGGCUCAACUGAGGAACUGCCUUUGAAACUGUCUGGCUUGAGGCCGGGAGGGGGUAGCGGAAUUCCCAGUGUAGCGGUGAAAUGCGUAGAUACUGGGAGGAACACCAGUGGCGAAGGCGGCUACCUGGACCGGUUCUGACGCUGAGGCGCGAAAGCGUGGGUAGCAAACAGGAUUAGAUACCCUGGUAGUCCACGCUGUAAACGAUGGGUGCUCGGUGUCGCGGGUAUCGACCCCUGCGGUGCCUUAGCUAACGCGUUAAGCACCCCGCCUGGGGAGUACGGUCCCAAGGCUGAAACUCAAAGGAAUUGACU
rnacentral:rRNA from 1 species